rnacentral:sRNA from 1 species
UGCCUAAACCGUGCAUCCGCGCGGCAUGGCGCAAAACCGGUAAAGGAUAGAGAACCCAUCAUGGGAAUACCUUUACCGGUCCUGUCGGGAAACCGGCAGUGGGUAGCUCAGCUACC